rnacentral:rRNA from 1 species
AAACAAGGUGCUGCACGGCUGUCGUCAGCUCGUGUCGUGAGAUGUGGUUAAGUCCCGCAACGAGCGCAACCUCGUCGUUAGUUGCUAACAGUUAGGCUGAGAACUCUAACGAGACUGCCUUCGUAAGGAGGAGGAAGGUGAGGACGACGUCAAGUCAUCAUGGCCCUUACGGCCAGGGCUACACACGUGCUACAAUGGGGUGUACAGAAAGCUGCAAUAUCGCGAGAUGGAGCAAAUCUCAAAAACACCUCCCAGUUCGGAUUGUUCUCUGCAACUCGAGAACAUGAAGUUGGAAUCGCUAGUAAUCGUAGAUCAGCAUUGCUACGGUGAAUACGUUCCCGGGUCUU